UACGUAGGGGGCAAGCGUUGUCCGGAUUUAUUGGGCGUAAAGAGCUCGUAGGUGGUUCGGUAAGUCGGAUGUGAAAUCUCCAGGCUCAACCUGGAGGGGUCAUUCGAUACUGCCGUGACUAGAGGUCGGUAGGGGAGUGUGGAAUUCCUGGUGUAGCGGUGAAAUGCGCAGAUAUCAGGAGGAACACCGGUGGCGAAGGCGGUUCUCUGGGCCUUACCUGACACUGAGGAGCGAAAGCGUGGGGAGCGAACAGG
rnacentral:rRNA from 1 species